UACGGGGGGGGCAAGCGUUGUUCGGAAUUACUGGGCGUAAAGGGCUCGUAGGUGGCCAACUAAGUCGGACGUGAAAUCCCUCGGCUUAACCGGGGAACUGCGUCUGAUACUGGAUGGCUUGAGUUCGGGAGAGGGAUGCGGAAUUCCAGGUGUAGCGGUGAAAUGCGUAGAUAUCUGGAGGAACACCGGUGGCGAAAGCAGGCUACUGGACCGUCACUGACUCUGAUCUGCGAAAGCUAGGGGAGCAAACAGGG
rnacentral:rRNA from 1 species